GCAGAUGUAAUUCAAUGGUAGAAUGCAACCUUGCCAAGGUUGAUACGCGAGUUCGAUUCUCGUCAUCUGCUCCA
rnacentral:tRNA from 1 species